GCCAGCAUGGUGUAGUGGGUUGGGUGUUAGACUAGGACUCUGGAGACCAAGGUUCAAAUCCCUGCUUCUGUA